rnacentral:misc_RNA from 1 species
AUCUCAUCCACGUCUCUUCAUUUGUUGGCGCGAGCAUGUGCUCGGCCGGUGUUGGUUUUCCUGUGCUGGAUACCCGUAUCGUGGCAUCGAACGUCGGCUAAAUUGUCCCUCAGCCCCCUWGUGCUGCUGCUCCUCGCGGGCAUGCGGCGCGGGGUGGCCCAURUAGCGCACGCCGUGUGUCCCAUCCCGUCGGCCCCUAAGAAGGGCGUCCGGGGUGACGAUCCRCGGCUUGAUGCUCGGUCCCUUGGGUACGGAACGUCGUGUGGGGURCGGGGCCGUCGGCCUCGGAGCACCACAAACAAGCGUUGCGAACGACCGUCGGCCCGGUCUCUGGCUGGCCCCCGUGGCUCGGCUCAG